rnacentral:rRNA from 1 species
UGUCUGGAAUGAAUGGUUGGAUGAAAUGUUUACUUUCUUUAUUUUAAAAUAUUGAAUUUGAUUUUUAUAUUAAAAAGUUUAAAUUUUAUUAUAGGACGAGAAGACCCUAUAGAACUUAAUUUUUUGUAAAAUAAAUAUUUGGUUGUAAAUGAUUUAUAUUUAUUUUAUUAUUAAUUUUGUUGGGGUGACAAAAAAAAUUCUAUAACUUUUUUUCUUUUUUUCAUUUAUUUAUGAAUAUCUGAUCCUUUAUUAUGGAUAUAAGAUUAAGUUACCUUAGGGAUAACAGCGUUAUUAUUUUAGAGAGUUCAUAUCGAUAAAAUAGUUUGCCACCUCG